rnacentral:rRNA from 1 species
UUUUUGGUUAAGUUAAUUAAAAAUUUUUAUGUUAGGCAUUUAAUAGAAAUCUUGAUAAAAAAUGUGAAAGGGGCGCUUCGCUGCGAAAAUUUAUGGGUAGGCAUUGGCUUGUGAUUUAUAAAUUCCCCAUGAGUAAACUCUAUAUAAGAUAAAAUUUAUAAUAAUGUGAAUUGAAUCAUCUUAGUAACAUUAAUAAAAAUCAACCGAGAAAUCGUUAUUAACGGUGAGUAAAAACGAUUUAAAGCUUAAAAUUUAAUAAUUUAACUUAUAAGACUACUUUAAGAGGUAAAAGUCCUGUAAUAAGUUAGAAGUUUAACUUUUAUAAGUAACGCGAAGUUCUUCUCUUGUGUGAAUUAAGGAGGACCACCUUCUAAGCUUCUUAACUUUUUUUAAUCGAUAGUGAACGAGUAUUGUGAAAAAAAGACGAAAAAUUCCGAAAGGUCAUAACUUUAAAUUGAAUGUUUUUAAGUAUUUGAAGUUUAAUUAUAAACAACGAAAUUCCUUUUGCAUAAUGAGUCAGUAAGUUAAUAAGUAUAGCGAGUUUAAAUAUUUAUAAACAGGCUAAAUUAAAGCAAUACUUAUUAAACCUGAAACCAAGUGAUCUAGUUGUAAGCAGGUUAAAAAUUCUUUAAUAAGUUUUUGAAGACCGAACUCUUGUAUGUAGCAAAAUAUAGAGAAGACUUAUGAUUAGGAGUGAAAGUCUAAUCAAACUUGGAAAUAGCCGGUUUUUCACGAAAUGUAUUUUAGUACAGCAUUAAUUAUCUAGUAAAUCUAAGGUAAAGUUCAAAUUAAAUCGGGGGAUUUUUAAUUUACUCAAUUUGAUUUAUCUUCCAAUUUUGAUUUAAUAAAAUUAAUAGACAGUCUUUAGGCGAUAAGGUUUAAAGACUAAAGGGCAACAACCCAGAUCGUAUGUUAAGAUCUUCAAAGUAUAAAUUUAGUGUAGAAGUCUCUAAAAAAGUCAAAUAAUUUAUAAAUAGGCUUAGAAGCAGCCUUUUAUUAGAGAAAGCGUUUUAGCUCAUUAUUAUUUUUUUAAAGAUUAAAAUAAAGAAGGCUUAAAUUAUAUAUCGAAACAACGAAUCAAAUCAGUUUGAUGGUAGUGAAACGUUCUGUAAAUUUCGGUUUUAGUUUUAAAAUUAACUCAAAAAUUCAGAAGUGCUUAUGCUGACAUGAGUAGCGUAAACUACGUUAAAAAAUCGUAGUCACUUUAUGUUUAAGGUUUUCAAUGUAAUUUUAAGUUCAUUGAGUUAAUCGGUCCUUAAGAGGAGAAUAAUUGUGAAAACAGUACUCGACAGGAAUUACUACAAAAUCUGCUAUAUGUGAUAUUUAAUAUCAUUUAAAAAAGUGGAGAUAGAAAAACGGUGGUCAUAAUAAAAUAAAAACUCUUCUUUUCGAGAAAAAAUUAUAGCUUUAAAGACCGUACUUAAACCGACGCUGGAAAAUCUAUUGAGUAUAUUAAAGUGAAUGAAUAAAUUAUAUUUAAGGAAUUAAGCAAAUUAACUUCAUAAGUUCGCGAUAAGAAGUGCCUUUUAGCAUAGGUAAAAUAAAAAAAAACAACGACUGGUUACCAAAACCAUAGGACUUUGCAAAUUUUUCAAAAAGUAUAAAGUCUGACGCCUGCCCAGUGCUUAAAAAUAAUGGGUUAAAGUUUCAUUAAGCUUUAUCUUUAAAAGUAAGUGAACGGCGGUUCUAACUAUAAGAAUCCUCAGGUAGCGAAAUUCCUUGGCGGGUAAAUUCCGUCCUGCAUGAAUGGCGUAACGAUUGUUUUACUGUCUUAAAUAUAAAUUCAGCGAAAUUACAGUACCUGUGAAAAUGCAGGUUACUCACAGCAAGACGGAAAGACCCUAGAUCCUUUACUUGAUUUUCAUACUGUAAAAAUUAUAAAUCUGUAUAGUAUAAGUGGAAGUAUAAACAUUCUUGAAAUACCACUCUGUUUAAAUAAUAUUUUACUUAUUUAUUAGUUUACCUAUUAAAGAAACUAUGAAAAAGAAAGUUUACUUGGGACGAGUACCUCCUAAAAAGUAACGGAGGUGUACAAAGGUAAGUUUCAAAUGUAUAAUGACUUAAAUUUGCUUGACUUUAAGAUUGAUAGAUCGAAUUGAGACGCAAGUCAGUCAUAUUGACCCGAUAUUCAAGUGUGGAAUUUAAUAUCGUUUAACGGAUAAAAGGAACUCUAGGGAUAACAGAUUCAUCGUGAUUGCGAGUUCGCAUCUAUGUCACGGUUUGAUACCUCGAUGUCGACUCAUCUUAUCCUGGAAUUGAAGUAGAUUCCAAGGGUCUAGUUGUUCGCUAGUUAAAAAGGUACGUGAGUUGGGUUCAGAACGUCGUGAGACAGUUCGGUCCCUAUCUGUUGUGAGAUUGAAAAAUAAGGGUCUUUUUUUCUAGUACGAGAGGAUCGAAAUACUUUAACCUCUGGUCUAUUGAUUGUUAAACCAUUAGCAUUGUCAAAUAGCUACGUUAGUCUUGUUUAAAUACUGAAAGAAUCAAAAGUAUUAAAGCUGGCCCUUAAAUUUUUCUAGAAUAUUCUGGAAGAUUACCAGACUGAUCGGUUUAAAAAAAUCUUUAGCAAUAAAGCUUUUAACAAAUACGAAAAUAUUCAACAAAAUGUUUUAAUCUAAC